CCCUGCCUUUUGUACACACCGCCCGUCGCACCUACCGAUUGAAUGAUUCGGUGAAACUUUCGGACCGUGGACAGGACGCUCUCGGGCGACUUGACCGUGGGAAGUUAUUUAAACCUCAUCAUUUAGAGGAAGGUGAAGUCGUAACAAGGUUU
rnacentral:rRNA from 1 species